rnacentral:tRNA from 1 species
GGAGAAGUUAUCUGGCCAAAUGGGUGGCCCACUGCAUAUGGCAGUGCGAGGGUUCAAUUCCCUCCUUCUCCA